rnacentral:rRNA from 1 species
GUGGGGAAUAUUGGACAAUGGGCGAAAGCCUGAUCCAGCCAUGCCGCGUGUGUGAAGAAGGUCUUCGGAUUGUAAAGCACUUUAAGUUGGGAGGAAGGGCAGUAAGUUAAUACCUUGCUGUUUUGACGUUACCGACAGAAUAAGCACCGGCUAACUUCGUGCCAGCAGCCGCGGUAAUACGAAGGGUGCAAGCGUUAAUCGGAAUUACUGGGCGUAAAGCGCUCGUAGGUGGUUUUGUAAGUUGGAGGUGAAAUCCCCGGGCUCAACCUGGGAACUACCUCCAAAACUGCAUGACUAGAGUACUGUAGAGGGUAGUGGAAUUUCCUGUGUAGCGGUGAAAUGCGUAGAUAUAGGAAGGAACACCAGUGGCGAAGGCGACUACCUGGACUGAUACUGACACUGAGGUGCGAAAGCGUGGGGAGCAAACAGGAUUAGAUACCCCGGUAGUCC